rnacentral:rRNA from 1 species
AGCGAACGCUGGCGGCAGGCCUAACACAUGCAAGUCGAACGAAGUCUUCGGACUUAGUGGCGGACGGGUGAGUAACACGUGGGAACGUGCCUUUAGGUUCGGAAUAACUCAGGGAAACUUGUGCCAAUACCGAAUGUGCCCUUCGGGGGAAAGAUUUAUCGCCUUUAGAGCGGCCCGCGUCUGAUUAGCUAGUUGGUGGGGUAAUGGCCCACCAAGGCUACGAUCAGUAGCUGGUCUGAGAGGAUGACCAGCCACAUUGGGACUGGGACACGGCCCAAACUCCUACGGGAGGCAGCAGUGGGGAAUCUUGCGCAAUGGGCGAAAGCCUGACGCAGCCAUGCCGCGUGGAUGAUGAAGGUCUUAGGAUUGUAAAAUCCUUUCACCGGUGAAGAUAAUGACUGUAGCCGGAGAAGAAGCCCCGGCUAACUUCGUGCCAGCCGCCGCAGUAA